rnacentral:rRNA from 1 species
AUGGCCGUGAAGAAGGUGAAGGCUGCACCGGCAGCGAAGACGCCCUUGCGCAGCGUCUCGCAAGAGAGCGGGUCACCGUUGAAGAUCCCCCUGUACCGGGUGUGGUAUGCAUUACGGACUGAUCCCGCCAGCAAACACGCCGCUGCGACGAGGAAGGUCAACCUGCAAAUGGGAAGCAAUCGUCUUGUUGAUGAAAAUUUCUUAGGGAAUUGCAAUUGGAAUGACUUGGUUGAUACAAGUUGGGCGCAGAUCCUGACUGCUAAGUCACCUGACUUAGAGUUAGAGAAUCUCAACGAAACCUCUAGGUACUGA